GCUGGCGGCAGGCUUAACACAUGCAAGUCGAGCGGUAACAGGGGGUGCUUGCACCCCGCUGACGAGCGGCGGACGGGUGAGUAAUGCAUAGGAAACUGCCCAGUAGUGGGGGAUAGCCCGGGGAAACCCGGAUUAAUACCGCGUACGCCCUUCGGGGGAAAGCAGGGGAUCUUCGGACCUUGCGCUAUUGGAUGUGCCUAUGUCGGAUUAGCUAGUUGGUGGGGUAAAGGCCUACCAAGGCGACGAUCCGUAGCUGGUCUGAGAGGAUGAUCAGCCACAUCGGGACUGAGACACGGCCCGAACUCCUACGGGAGGCAGCAGUGGGGAAUAUUGGACAAUGGGCGAAAGCCUGAUCCAGCCAUCCCGCGUGGAGGAUGACUGCCCUACGGGUUGUAAACUCCUUUUAUAUGAGAAGAAACGCCUGGAUUUAUCCGGGCCUGACGGUAUCUUAUGAAUAAGCACCGGCUAACUCCGUGCCAGCAGCCGCGGUAAUACGGAGGGGGCUAGCGUUGUUCGGAAUUACUGGGCGUAAAGCGCACGUAGGCGGAUCAGUCAGUCAGAGGUGAAAUCCCGGAGCUCAACUUCGGAACUGCCUUUGAUACUGCUGGUCUAGAGUCCGGGAGAGGUGCAUGGAAUUCCGAGUGUAGAGGUGAAAUUCGUAGAUAUUCGGAGGAACACCAGAGGCGAAGGCGAUGCACUGGACCGGUACUGACGCUGAGGUGCGAAAGCGUGGGGAGCAAACAGGAUUAGAUACCCUGGUAGUCCACGCCGUAAACGAUGUCUACUAGCCGUUGGGACUCUUGAAGUCUUAGUGGCGCAGCUAACGCACUAAGUAGACCGCCUGGGGAGUACGGCCGCAAGGUUAAAACUCAAAUGAAUUGACGGGGGCCCGCACAAGCGGUGGAGCAUGUGGUUUAAUU
rnacentral:rRNA from 1 species